UCCGAUCAUAAAGAUGUCUUAUUGCUGACGCUGCUGAUUCAUCUGUCAAAAGUAGUGGAUCUGGAUACGCUGCAAUAAUUACAUGGCUUAAUAAAAACUCCAUCUGGCCACAAAGCUUCAGGAUUUCUUCUGGCAAAAGAAGAAACAGGUGACUUGAAGAACCCUGAUGAUAAUUUAUUGGCAAAAUCAGCGGACCGUCGGCCUAUUGACAAAAAUGAUUUCUGUGCAAUAGUAUUGUGACCUAAAAAUAAUUAGUCUUAUUAUUAUUAGCGACCGUCGAAUAAAAUUAAUGAUUCAAUAUACUA